rnacentral:ncRNA from 2 species
CUCUUAUCAAGAGAGGUGGAGGGAUGUGCCCUAUGAAACCCGGCAACCGUCAGCAUUCGGCUGAAAUGGUGCCAAUUCACACAAAGCGUUCGCUUUGAGAGAUAAGAG